GAUUGUACGUUAUUGUGGAUUACUUAUAUCUAACUAAUCUAUUUUUUAAUUACAACUAUCAACAACGGAUCUCUUGGCUCUCGCAUCGAUGAAGAACGCAGCGAACCGCGAUAUUUUUUGUGACUUGCAGAUGUGAAUCAUCAAUCUUUGAACGCACAUUGCGCGGUGUGGCAUUCCGCACCGCACGGAUGGACGAGCGUGUUCCCUCUGGGAUCGCAUCGCUUUUCUGAAAUGAAUGAAUUACUUCAAUACACUCUUUUCACCUCGUUCAUCCGAGACUACCCGCUGAACUUAAGCAUAUCAAUAAGCGGGAACGAGGUGAAAAGAGUGUAUUGAAGUAAUUCAUUCAUUUCAGAAAAGCGAUGCGAUCCCAGAGGGAACACGCUCGUCCAUCCGUGCGGUGCGGAAUGCCACACCGCGCAAUGUGCGUUCAAAGAUUGAUGAUUCACAUCUGCAAGUCACAAAAAAUAUCGCGGUUCGCUGCGUUCUUCAUCGAUGCGAGAGCCAAGAGAUCCGUUGUUGAUAGUUGUAAUUAAAAAAUAGAUUAGUUAGAUAUAAGUAAUUCCACA
rnacentral:rRNA from 1 species